rnacentral:rRNA from 1 species
UACGUAGGGUGCUAGCGUUGUCCGGAUUUAUUGGGCGUAAAGGGCGCGUAGGCGGUGCGGUAAGUCUGUAGUGAAAUCUCUGGGCUCAACUCAGAGUCUGCUGCAGAAACUGCCGUGCUUGAGUGUGGGAGAGGUGAGUGGAAUUCCCCGGUGUAGCGGUGAAAUGCGUAGAUAUCGGGAGGAACACCUGUGGCGAAAGCGGCUCGCUGGACCGCAACUGACGCUGAGGCGCGAAAGCUAGGGGAGCAACAGG